UAUAUAUAUGUAUUUGGAUGUGGUGAUGUUGGUCCCGGUAGCGUUAUAACGAGAGUCUAGAGGGGGGGUGAAUAGACUCUUUUCGGAUUUUGCUAAAUAACAACCUUUC